UGGGGAAUUUUGGGACAAUGGGGGGAAACCCUGAUCCAGCCAUCCCGCGUGUGCGAUGAAGGCCUUCGGGUUGUAAAGCACUUUUGGCAGGAAAGAAACGUCGCGGGUUAAUACCCCGCGAAACUGACGGUACCUGCAGAAUAAGCACCGGCUAACUACGUGCCAGCAGCCGCGGUAAUACAUAGGGUGCAAGCGUUAAUCGGAAUUACUGGGCGUAAAGCGUGCGCAGGCGGUUCGGAAAGAAAGAUGUGAAAUCCCAGAGCUUAACUUUGGAACUGCAUUUUUAACUACGGGCUAGAGUGUGUCAGAGGGGAGGUGGAAUUCCGCGUGUAGCAGUGAAAUGCGUAGAUAUGCGGAGGAACACCGAUGGGCGAAGGCAGCCUCCUGGGAUAACACUGACGCUCAUGCACG
rnacentral:rRNA from 1 species